UCCCUGGUGGCUCUGACAGUACAGCAUCUGCCUGCAAUGCAGGAGACCCAGGUUCAAUCCCUGGGUUGGGAA
rnacentral:tRNA from 1 species